UCCCAAGUGCUGGAAUUAAAGGUGUGCGCCACCAUGCCCGGCUAGUCCUUCCCUCUUGAUAUGGCAGUGUCUUUACGAAGUUCCAUCUUCAGUCCCCAUGGCUGUGGCCUCUGAGGGCAACCAUGACUAAAUUUAAGUCUGGGGUUUAAAACAACAUGAAGUAAUGCCCCAUGGGAAUGGCUUCAUGUCUGCAGUGCUUUGGGGUUUUACAGAACCAAAUUCCUCAGUGGGCAGGUCCAUUUGGAAAGCCUUCCCUUGCCCCACCAGGCCUGUUUCUAUGGUUACAUUGGGAUGAAGAUGGGGCAGGUGGCAUGAUAUUUGACCUUUGCUUCCCCAGGGAGACUCGACAUCUCGACAUUACGCUUGACUUUCCCCAUAGAGAAAUUAGAUGAAUGUCUGCCAGGAAGCAACCCUCAUCCCGUAGCUUCAGAGUCAUCUUUCUCUGAGGGCUGUGGAGCUAUCUAUCCCUUUAAGACCAGUGAGCCUCCUGGGAAAUGGCAGAAAGGAACAGCAAACAGGAAGGGAUUUUCCGCUGCCUAGGAGACCAAGAAGAGGUGGUGCUGACGUCACAGCAAUGCUGAACACUCCAAAAUAGUUUUGUCUAAUUUGAAGGGAAACCGGGCAGCAUCCUCUGACUCUCCGAAGGCUUGGCUACGAAAUAGCCAACUGACCUAUGAUGGCUGAUGAAGCUGACACGGAGAAAACAGGUGCACAUCAUGGAGUACCCAUAGAAGCCAGAAGAGGGCAUCAGAUCCCCUGGAACCUGAGUUACACAUUGAACUGAACUACCACCAGGGAGCUGGGAACCAAAGCCAAGUCCUCUGCAAGAGCAACCAAUGCUCUUAACCAUGAGCUACCUUUCAGCCUCCAGAUGAUGUUGCCUCUGUGACCUCAGCUGUAUGCCCUGAUCCCAUCUGUCUUCCACUUGCUGUUCCCCUCCUAUCCUGGUCUAGCAUUUCUGGGAGCCUAGGAGACAGAACAUGGCUUCCUGAAUCAUGAACUUGACUUUCUCUCCAACUGCUGUGAUUUGCUGGCUUUCUAACCCUGGGCCUGAUGAGUUCUCUCUGAUUCCCCAGUUACCUAAUCACAAGUCUUUAGUGAUUCCCUUGGUUACAAGACUUAAACACCACCAGGCUGGGGUGACAUGACCCCAGUAAUCCUAGUGAUGGUGUGGCAAAAAGUGCCAGAUUUAGCAAAUAAAAAUAUAAGAUGUCAA